ACACCGUUGGUGAAACGGUAUCAUGCAUCGUUGCCAUUAGGACUCAACUCCCGAUUCGAUGCGGCAAGGGUUCGACUCCCUUACGGUGUA
rnacentral:tRNA from 3 species